rnacentral:lncRNA from 1 species
GAUGACCCAUAGUACCCCAUUCCUUGCUGCAAUGUAAUUAUAUUUAAUUACAAGUGUGCCCCUGGUAGUCUUUAACUGAAGGGCACUGACUGGGUCACUGGUGAAGUUCCCCGCAGGAACUGAGUCAGACCCCAUCUCAGGGCCCUGCACAAGAUAGGUGCCUGCUCUAAGGCGUGGACCCUCGCCACAGCCCUGGCCCGUCUUGACGGGCGAGGGUUACUGUACUUGUCCCAACCGUACAGAUGAGAAAGCUGAGACUCAGGGCCAGCAACCCGGGUCCCAGCGGAGCGCCCGGCACACGCCGACACUUCAGCACCAGUGGCGGUGGCCACCACUGUGGGCGGAGAUGGCUGCGACGCGUGCGCAGAUCUCGAUCCCAAACUCCCUCCUGCCAGAAUCUGGACCCGAAUCCACCCAUUGCCCGUUUUCCGCUGCCGCUGGAGAGAAUCUCUGAGGUCCCCAGGAGAGCCUGCCUGCACGGAAGAGACGCCUCCUCGAUACCUGGGAGAGAGGAUUUUUCAUGUUACCAACACAAAGAAAUGAUAAAGGUGAAAUGGCCACCAGACCCAGGCUUUCUGGAAUGCAUUCAUUUUCUGCAGUUGAAAGGGACAAUCCCGGAUCUGAAAGAAAGAGCCACAGUGACUCCAAGAGUGGAGCCAGGGCAUGCUGGACACUGCAUAGCUAUGGCCACGUGUGUCACCUCCGAGGGAGAUGUGAGAGAAACGCAGAGGGAUCGCUUGUGACUGUGCCUUCUCGAUGUAUGAUGGACUGUUCUGCUCAAAUAGUAAGUGUGACCAAGGAGCCGGUGAACAUAGGAAACAAAGAAUAUUUCAUUUGACAUUAUAAGGAAUGCGACAAUUCUAGUCACUUGAAAGUGAACUAUAUCUGUCGAGAAUUCCUAGUUUUAAUUGGGAAGAAAUGUGCUUCUCUUCUUGAAAAGCCACAGGUUAUUGCUGUUAUGUCUAAUAUCAGUCCUCUCUGGAUUUCUCAAAAGAUUUUCUGUAUAUCCUACCAUUUUCCUUCUGUUGCUGCAGUUUGGAAGUAGUUUGUUAUCAGGAUUAUCAAAGCAUCAUUGCUAUUUAUGACAAUGACUUUAAGAAAUGCAAGAAUAUUUGGAACACUGUAGAAAAAAUAUUUUAGCCUGGAAGGCAAAUACUAAUUUCAGGAACUAUUGAUCUGUUAUAAAACAGGACCACUCAGACAUUUAGCUCUAAGACUUUCACAUAUCCGUUGUUAGAGGCGUAUAGUGGGGGGCAUGACUCAGCUUCUGCUUAAGUACAAGGUGUUGUCUGCAGCGAAGGAAGAAUUUGAUUGUAGUAUCAACAGAACCAGACAGAACUCUUUGAAUAUAAUUAUAUAUCUUGGAAACUGACUCAUCAAAGCUAUUAGAUUACAUGGCAUCAUUUAAGCAUCACUGGGCUCUGUACUUUUCAUUAUCUGUACUUUUCAUUAUGGAGUAUAAUAGGCUUUAUUUGGUACAGAAAUUGGGUCUAAGAUGAAACAACUUGUGAUUUUUGAAUAAACUUUUGGGGAUUAGUUACUUUGAUGUUGUCAAGAUAGCACCAUAGUAAGUCCUCUGUCUUUCCUCUUGAUUUAUUUAUAAUUUAGAAUCAGUUUAUGAUUUUAAAAAAUGUGACAGACACAGUGGCAUGCACCAGUAGUACCAGCCACAUGGGAAACUGAGGCAGAAGGAUCACUUGAUCCCAGAAGAUAGAGACCACCCUGGGCAACAUAGUGAGAGCCCCAUCUCAAAAAAAAAAAAAAA